rnacentral:rRNA from 1 species
AAGGUAGCAUAAUAAUUUGUUUUUUAAUUGGAUACUGGUAUGAAUGAUCUUACAUUUAAAACUUUUUUUGUUUGAAAUUUUAAAAUUUAGUGUUUAAAGUUAAAAUACUUAAAUAUAUAAAAAAGACGAUAAGACCCUAAAAGCUUUAUUUUUAUUUAAAAUUUAAAUAACUUUAAUUUUAAAAUAAAAUUUUUACUGGGGUAGUAUUUUAAUUAAUUUUUUACAAAUAACCUUGUGACUUACAAUUCCUUAAUAUUAGGAUAUUAAAUGAGUUACUUUAGGGAUAACAGCGUAAUAACGCCGAAAAGAACAUAUUUAUGGUGUUGAUUACGACCUCGAUGUUGAAUUAAUAAAUCUUUUUAAAGCAGAUUUUAAGUAAGAAGGUUUGUUCAACCCUUAAUUUAUUACAUGAUCUGAGUUCAAACCGG